UGGGGAAUAUUGGACAAUGGGGGCAACCCUGAUCCAGCAAUGCCGCGUGUGUGAAGAAGGUCUUCGGAUUGUAAAGCACUUUCGACGGGGACGAUGAUGACGGUACCCGUAGAAGAAGCCCCGGCUAACUUCGUGCCAGCAGCCGCGGUAAUACGAAGGGGGCUAGCGUUGCUCGGAAUGACUGGGCGUAAAGGGCGUGUAGGCGGUUUACACAGUCAGAUGUGAAAUCCCCGGGCUUAACCUGGGAGCUGCAUUUGAUACGUGUAGACUAGAGUGUGAGAGAGGGUUUGUGGAAUUCCCAGUGUAGAGGUGAAAU
rnacentral:rRNA from 1 species